AAAUCAUAUAUCCAUUCAUUUCUAACUUCAUAAACAAAAAUAUUCAACAAUUAGUUUACAUUACAAUACUUUCCAACAUUUACAUUCAUUUUCAUAUUAAUUACAAACCUAAAUCGAGUUCAACUUUCAAUCACCCUACAUCAUUUCUAAUUUAUCCAAAUACAUUACAACAAUAUCAAGAUAAAUCAAGGCUACAAGAUUACAAAUAAGGUUGUCAACCUAAGUUUCGUGUCCAACCACCAUCACCACGUGUUCAUCACCUACAAAAUUCAAUACGAAACAUAAGCAUUGCAGCAUGUCAUGGAGCAAAGGCCACACCACAAAAGCAACCAGAGGUGUGCAUCACCUGCCAUGUACACGAAUGAGACCGAGUUCAUAAUAGACUAAACCCAUUCUACGUCAUAAUAUUGCAGCACCCCAAUGCUGGAAACAUGGCCAAGACCCUAUUGUAAUGCAGCCUAACCAAGGACCACAUGAACCCUGCAAAAUCACAAGUCAACAAUGCAUAACGUCUCCAAUAGGAGGAUUCUGCAACAUCUCGCAGAAUUGUCGCGACCCUGAAACCCACACCCGAACCGGCAGCAGGACCAAAACAAAAACCUAACAGCUUCACACCAAUGGAACUCGCACCAACCUCCAAUAGAACCUAACUAACCUGCAAAAAAGGGAAAAGAAAUAGCAGUUAAAGUUUUAACUAAUAAUACUUAUCAAGGCAAAAGAGAAUUUUCUAAUGAGUCUUCUAUCAAGAAUACAUCACAAAAAACGAGUGCAGCUUCUUGGUUAUUACCGUGAAGAAGGAAACGGUAACUCAUAACUAAGAUGAAGCCAAAAGGUUCACAUUUAAUUUGAUGGCAGAGCACAUUAUGAGUUUGCAACCUGGGGAAAUAGAGACAGAGAGAUUAAAGAAAAAGUAUGUUACUUUCAUGAAAGGUGUUGUAUCAGCACCAUUGAAUUUUCCCGGAACUGCAUACUGGAAAGCAUACCGGAAAGCACCAUUAAAGGUAUAUCAUUCAUAACCCACUCUAGCUCGACACCUACCCCAAUUAUUAACAUAAUUCGCAUUGCACGUUCAACCGUUCAAUUAGCCAUGUCAUAGAAAUUUCCUAUCCAACCCUGCCCACGAACUUAACAACCAUCCAAAAGAACCGACUUUGAGUCUUCC
rnacentral:lncRNA from 1 species